rnacentral:rRNA from 1 species
UACGGAGGAUGCAAGCGUUAUCCGGAACGAUUGGGCGUAAAGCGUCCGCAGGUGGCUGUGUAAGUCUGCUGUCAAAGAGCGAAGCUCAACUUCGUAAAGGCAGUGGAAACUACACGGCUAGAGUGCGUUCGGGGCAGAGGGAAUUCCUGGUGUAGCGGUGAAAUGCGUAGAGAUCAGGAAGAACACCGGUGGCGAAGGCGCUCUGCUAGGCCGCAACUGACACUGAGGGACGAAAGCUAGGGGAGCGAAUGGG